GCCUCGGUGGUGUAAUGGAAAGUACGGCAGACCGGAUAUCUGUCGGUGCGGGUACGAGUCCAGCCUGAGGUU
rfam:Dictyocaulus viviparus strain HannoverDv2000 D_viviparus-1.0_Cont277.14, whole genome shotgun sequence.